AUUGAACGCUGGCGGCAGGCCUAACACAUGCAAGUCGAGCGGAUGAAGGGAGCUUGCUCCUGGAUUCAGCGGCGGACGGGUGAGUAAUGCCUAGGAAUCUGCCUGGUAGUGGGGGAUAACGUCCGGAAACGGGCGCUAAUACCGCAUACGUCCUGAGGGAGAAAGUGGGGGAUUUUCGGACCUCACGCUAUCAGAUGAGCCUAGGUCGGAUUAGCUAGUUGGUGGGGUAAAGGCCUACCAAGGCGACGAUCCGUAACUGGUCUGAGAGGAUGAUCAGUCACACUGGAACUGAGACACGGUCCAGACUCCUACGGGAGGCAGCAGUGGGGAAUAUUGGACAAUGGGCGAAAGCCUGAUCCAGCCAUGCCGCGUGUGUGAAGAGGGUCUUCGGAUUGUAAAGCACUUUAAGUUGGGAGGAAGGGCAGUAAGUUAAUACCUUGCUGUUUUGACGUUACCAACAGAAUAAGCACCGGCUAACUUCGUG
rnacentral:rRNA from 1 species